rnacentral:rRNA from 1 species
ACUCCCUUCGGGGAGUGCAUAAAGUGGCGCACGGGUGAGUAACACGUAAGUAAUCUGCCCUUGAGUGGGGAAUAACGUCCGGAAACGGACGCUAAUACCGCAUAACGCAGCGGCACCUAAUGGUGACAGUUGUUAAAGGAGCAAUCCGCUUGAGGAGGAGCUUGCGGCAGAUUAGCUAGUUGGUAAGGUAAUGGCUUACCAAGGCUACGAUCUGUAACCGGUCUAAGAGGACGGUCGGUCACACUGACACUGAAUAACGGGUCAGACUCCUACGGGAGGCAGCAGUCGGGAAUUUUGGGCAAUGGGCGAAAGCCUGACCCAGCAACGCCGCGUGAAGGAUGAAGUAUUUCGGUAUGUAAACUUCGAAAGAAUGGGAAGAAACAAAUGACGGUACCAUUUAUAAGGUCCGGCUAACUACGUGCCAGCAGCCGCGGUAAUACGUAGGGACCAAGCGUUGUUCGGAUUUACUGGGCGUAAAGGGCGCGUAGGCGGCAAUUCAAGUCAUCUGUGAAAUCUCCGGGCUUAACUCGGAACGGUCAGAUGAUACUGCUUUGCUAGAGUGCGGAAGGGGCAAUCGGAAUUCUUGGUGUAGCGGUGAAAUGCGUAGAUAUCAAGAGGAACACCUGAGGUGAAGACGGGUUGCUGGGCCGACACUGACGCUGAUAGCGCGAAAGCCAGGGGAGCAAACGGGAUUAGAUACCCCGGUAGUCCUGGCCUUAAACGAUGAAUACUUGGUGUCUGGAGUCUUUAAUGCUCCGGGUGCCGUCGCUAACGUUUUUAGUAUUCCGCCUGGGGAGUACGCUCGCAAGAGUGAAACUC